CUUGCAGCAUAAGGAUUGAAGAGUUGGGACUUGGAAUUCAAUAACAAAGUCUAUGCUCGGCAUUUACAAUAUUAUUUCACCAGGAACAGGUCCUGAAUCUCUAUGGUUUAGGAGUGCUGUACCUACCCUCCAUCAUCAGAAUUGAGGAGUUAGGACUUGAAGUCCAAGCAUGAAGUCGUUACUUGGUACCUACGAUAUUAGUUCACUAUGAACACUUCCUUUUCUGAUAACUUAGGCGGGCAGUAACCCUGCUGCAUCAGUAUUAAGGAGUUGGAUC